rnacentral:rRNA from 1 species
UACGUAGGCAGCAAGCGUUGUUCGGAGUUACUGGGCGUAAAGGGUGUGUAGGCGGUUCUUUUAAGUUUGGUGUGAAAUCUCCCGGCUCAACUGGGAGGGUGCGCCGAAUACUGAAUGACUUCGAGUGCGGGAGAGGAAAGUGGAAUUCCUGGUGUAGCGGUGAAAUGCGUAGAUAUCAGGAGGAACACCGGUGGUGUAGACGGCUUUCUGGACCGUAACUGACGCUGAGACACGAAAGCGUGGGUAGCAAACAGG